UGGGGAAUUUUGGACAAUGGGCGAAAGCCUGAUCCAGCAAUGCCGCGUGUGUGAAGAAGGCCUUCGGGUUGUAAAGCACUUUUGUCCGGAAAGAAAUCCUUGGCUCUAAUACAGUCGGGGGAUGACGGUACCGGAAGAAUAAGCACCGGCUAACUACGUGCCAGCAGCCGCGGUAAUACGUAGGGUGCAAGCGUUAAUCGGAAUUACUGGGCGUAAAGCGUGCGCAGGCGGUUUGCUAAGACCGAUGUGAAAUCCCCGGGCUCAACCUGGGAACUGCAUUGGUGACUGGCAGGCUAGAGUAUGGCAGAGGGGGGUAGAAUUCCACGUGUAGCAGUGAAAUGCGUAGAGAUGUGGAGGAAUACCGAUGGCGAAGGCAGCCCCCUGGGCCAAUACUGACGCUCAUGCACGAAAGCGUGGGGAGCAAACAGGAUUAGAUACCCUGGUAGUCCACGCCCUAAACGAUGUCAACUAGUUGUUGGGGAUUCACUUCCUUAGUAACGUAGCUAACGCGUGAAGUUGACCGCCUGGGGAGUACGGUCGCAAGAUUAAAACUCAAAGGAAUUGACGGGGUCAUAGCUGUUUCCU
rnacentral:rRNA from 1 species